rnacentral:rRNA from 1 species
CACGUAGGGUGCGAGCGUUGUCCGGAAUUAUUGGGCGUAAAGAGCUCGUAGGUGGUUUGUCGCGUUGUUCGUGAAAACUCACAGCUCAACUGUGGGCGUGCGGGCGAUACGGGCAGACUAGAGUACUGCAGGGGAGACUGGAAUUCCUGGUGUAGCGGUGGAAUGCGCAGAUAUCAGGAGGAACACCGGUGGCGAAGGCGGGUCUCUGGGCAGUAACUGACGCUGAGGAGCGAAAGCGUGGGGAGCGAACAGG